AAUAGAUAUCCAGGUAGUCCAUGCCGUAAACGUUGGGCACUAGGUGUGGGGCUCAUUCCACGAGUUCCGUGCCGCAGCAAACGCAUUAAGUGCCCCGCCUGGGGAGUACGGCCGCAAGGCUAAAACUCAAAGAAAUUGACGGGGGCCCGCACAAGCGGCGGAGCAUGCGGAUUAAUUCGAUGCAACGCGAAGAACCUUACCAAGGCUUGACAUACACCGGAAAAGUGCAGAGAUGUGCUCCCCGUAAGGUCGGUGUACAGGUGGUGCAUGGUUGUCGUCAGCUCGUGUCGUGAGAUGUUGGGUUAAGUCCCGCAACGAGCGCAACCCCGUCCCAUGUUGCCAGCGGGUUAUGCCGGGGGACUCAUGGGAGACUGCCGGGGUCAACUCGGAGGAAGGUGGGGAUGACGUCAAAUCAUCAUGCCCCUUAUGUCUUGGGCUUCACGCAUGCUACGAAUGGCCGGUACAAAGGGCUGCGAUACCGUAAGGUGGAGCGAAUCCCAAAAAGCCGGUCUCAGUUCGGAUUGGGGUCUGCAACUCGACCCC
rnacentral:rRNA from 1 species